ACGACGAGGUAGAUAGGGCAGAGGUGGAAGUGCAGCAAUGCAUGGAGCUGACUGUUACUAAUCGGGUGAGGGCUUGACCAA
rnacentral:rRNA from 1 species